AACGAACGCUGGCGGCAGGCCUAAUACAUGCAAGUCGAACGCUCCAGCAAUGGAGAGUGGCAGACGGGUGAGUAACGCGUGGGAACCUUCCCAGUGGUACGGAAUAGCUCAGGGAAACUUGAGGUAAUACCGUAUACGCCCUUCGGGGGAAAGAUUUAUCGCCAUUGGAUGGGCCCGCGUCGGAUUAGCUAGUUGGUGGGGUAAUGGCCCACCAAGGCGACGAUCCGUAGCUGGUCUGAGAGGAUGAUCAGCCACACUGGGACUGAGACACGGCCCAGACUCCUACGGGAGGCAGCAGUAGGGAAUAUUGGACAAUGGGCGAAAGCCUGAUCCAGCCAUGCCGCGUGAGUGACGAAGGCCUUCGGGUUGUAAAGCUCUUUUGGCGGGGACGAUAAUGACGGUACCCGCAGAAUAAGCUCCGGCUAACUUCGCGCCAGCCGCCGCGGUAA
rnacentral:rRNA from 1 species